AGCCUUGCAUCUCUCCAGCCUGACAUUCCUGUUUGGGGUUGGUCAAUUUCACCUUAAUACCUCCAAUGGUGAGAAGAGCUCAGCAAGCCUUGUUUGUCAAAGCUAUUUAAGAGUUUUAC
rnacentral:lncRNA from 13 species